rnacentral:rRNA from 1 species
GUACACGCUGUGACUAGCAUAUCAAUAAGCGGAGGAAAAGAAACUAACAAGGAUUCCCCUAGUAACGGCGAGUGAAGCGGGAAGAGCUCAAAUUUGAAAUCUUAAAGGGUUUCCCUUUACGAAUUGUAGUUUAAAGAAGUGUUUUCUGUUGAGGUUUUGGUAAAAGUUCUUUGGAAUAGGACAUCAUAGAGGGUGAGAAUCCCGUAUUUGACCUUUACUUUCAACUUUGUGAUACACUUUCAAAGAGUCGGAUUGUUGGGAAUGCAGUCCAAAAUGGGUGGUAAAUUUCAUCUAAAGCUAAAUAUUGGCGAGAGACCGAUAGCGAACAAGUACCGUGAGGGAAAGAUGAAAAGAACUUUGAAAAGAGAGUUAAACAGUACGUGAAAUUGUCAAAAGGGAAGCGUUUGACACCAGUGCUUGUUUUUCUGAAAAUCAAUUAAAGAACUGUUUAUGCUAAGCUGUUUAGACUUUAUCAGCUAUCUGUUUAGUUUUGAGCUUUUCUUUAAUGCACUUUUCAGUUAACAAGUCAACAUCAAUUUCUUUUGCUGUAAAAAAGCUUGAGGAAGGUGGCUUGAGAUUCGUCUUAAGUGUUUAUAGCCUCUCGCCUAUGCAGUCGGAGAGAUUGAGGUCUGCAGCGUAGAUCCUUCGGGGCUAAAUGCAUUUGUGCUAAGUUAUAGCAUUUUAUAGACAACUUGUUGACUAUGAUUUGUCUUGUAGCUUACUCGCUUAUGUUAUUUUACCUACGCUUAGGAUGUUGAGUCGUAGAGCACGCAG